CGUAGGUGGCAAGCGUUGUCCGGAUUUAUUGGGUUUAAAGGGUGCGUAGGCGGCCUUAUAAGUCAGUGCUGAAAUAUCCCGGCUUAACCGGGAGGGUGGCAUUGAUACUGUAGGGCUUGAGUGUAGUCGAGGUAGGCGGAAUUGACGGUGUAGCGGUGAAAUGCUUAGAUAUCGUCAAGAACACCGAUAGUGUAGACAGCUUACUAGGCUACAACUGACGCUGAGGCACGAAAGUGUGGGGAUCAAACAGGAUUAGAUACCCUGGUAGUCCACACUGUAAACGUUGAUUACUCGAUGUUGGCGAUACACAGUCAGCGUCUUAGCGCAAGCGAUAAGUAAUCCACCUGGGGAUACGCCGGCAACGGUG
rnacentral:rRNA from 1 species